GACGAACGCUGGCGGCGUGCUUAACACAUGCAAGUCGAACGGGAUUUAGUAAACGGAAGCCUCGGUGGAAGAUUACUAAUGAGAGUGGCGAACGGGUGAGUAACGCGUGAGCAACCUGCCUAUGACAGUGGGAUAGCCUCGGGAAACCGGGAUUAAUACCGCAUAAAAUCGUAGAAACACAUGUUUCAACGGUCAAAGAUUUAUCGGUCAUAGAUGGGCUCGCGUCUGAUUAGCUAGUUGGUGAGAUAACAGCCCACCAAGGCGACGAUCAGUAGCCGGUCUGAGAGGAUGAACGGCCACAUUGGAACUGAGACACGGUCCAAACUCCUACGGGAGGCAGCAGUGGGGAAUAUUGCACAAUGGGGGAAACCCUGAUGCAGCGACGCCGCGUGAACGAAGAAGGUAUUCGCAUCGUAAAGUUCUGUCCUAUGGGAAGAUAAUGACAGUACCAUAGAAGAAAGCUCCGGCUAAAUACGU
rnacentral:rRNA from 1 species